CACAGAUGAGCAGCUCUUGCUUUUUUGACCAGAGACUAUUCACAGCUGGAAUAAGUACUACAUCCACUAAACAUUAUGGAAGCGGCUAGCUGUAAGUUGCCAAGUGGCAUGGUGCCAUGUGAUGGCUGACUUUUCCAGGUCUUCACAUGAGAGGGGUCAACACUACACUGUGAUGUCAAGGUCACCAUGGUGCCCAAUACCUUUGUAGAUAUUAUUUUGCAGGCAUUCCCACAUAAAAAACACAAGGCUAGGAGGGACUGAAGACAUGAUUCGAAGACUAUGAACUUCCUCUCUCUCAUAGGGGUGUGAGUAUAUUCUCUAAACAAAAAAAGAUAAAUACAAAAUUUAAUGAUCACAAUUUUAAAUUAAUCCAUUGUGUUAUUUGAUGUUUUUACUUACUCAUCGCUCAUUUCCAUUUCAAAAUCUCGGUCAGAGUCUUCAUCUUCCUCAGGAAUGUAGUCUAAAUCACCAUCAUCAUCAUCAUCAUCAUCAUCAGCAGCAGCAGCACUACUGUCGUCUGAAAAAUCCACUUCCAUUGAAGAACAGUUCUUUUCAACCGAGUUGCCGAGCUUAACCUGGCAGGAAAAAUCCUUUGCUCUUGAAAGCAGGCUUUGGGUCCCACGAUGACAUUUGGCAACUGGAGUGACAUGCCAGGAUUUUGGAGUUUGACAUGAUUUAGUGCAUUUCACAACUAUUUCAGUCUGUGACACUUUAUUCUGAAAAUGAAUAAAAAAAUGAAAUGUUUACAAUUCUGAAAAUAAGUUUUCAAAAGAUCUUUGGGUCGGGAUUUAUAAAAUUCUAAUUCCCAAGUCUUGCUCUUUUGUAGAGAAAAUUGAGUUUUAUGGAAGGAAUUUUUAAAUUUAUAUUAGACCCACUCCUACAUACCAUUCCAGUUGACAUUGUCUGUACACAUGCAUGAGUGGUCAGAGGUAGUUCAAAAGACACAUUAGGCUUGGCAUUUGUUGAGAUGUUGGUUUCAUAGCAAGCCUCUGCAUCAUCCGACGACUCCAUUUGACAUACACUUGCCUCAUAAGCUUGUAGAGCACAGCUAACUGUCUGAAAUAUAUGUAAUGGAAGAGAUUACAGUGGAUAA